GACGAACGCUGGCGGCGUGCUUAACACAUGCAAGUCGAACGGAAAGGCCCGGCUUUCAGAGUAUUCGAGUGGCCAACGGGCGAGUAACUCGUGGGUGAUCUGCUCUGCACUUGGGGAUAAUACUUGGAAACUGGGUCUAAUACUGGAGAGUAGCCUCUUUGAGUGUGAGGGUUGGUCAGUUUUUUUCGGUGUAGGAUGAGCUCUCGGCCUAUCGUCUUGUUGGUGGGGUAAUGGCCUACCAACGCGGAGUCGGGUAGCCGGCCUGAGAGGGUGGAGGGGCACAGUGGGACUGGGAUUCGGACAAGACUCCUACGGGAGGCAGAAGUGGGGGAUAUUGAACAAUGGGAGCAAGCCUGAUGCAGAGACGCCGAGUGGGGGAUGAGGGCGUACGGGUUGUAAACGUCUUUCGCUAGGGAAGAAGCGUAAUGUGACGGUACCUAGAUAAGAAGCACCGGCUAACUACGUG
rnacentral:rRNA from 1 species